rnacentral:rRNA from 1 species
AUUGAACGCUGGCGGAAUGCUUUACACAUGCAAGUCGAACGGCAGCACGGGGUCAUCCCUGGUUGCGAGUUGCGAACGGGUGAGUAAUACAUCUGAACGUGCCCGGUCGUGGGGGAUAACGUAUCGACAUUUACGCUUAUACCGCAUACGAUCUGAGGAUGAAAUCGUGGGACCUUCGUGCCUCGCGCGAUCUGAGCUUCCGAUGUCAGAUUAGGUAGUUGGUGGGGUAAAGGCCUACCAAGCCGACGAUCUGUAGCUUGUCUGAGAGGACGACCAGCCACACUGGGAAUGAGAAACGGACCAGACUCCUACGGGAGGAAGCAGAGGGGAAUUUGGGACAAUGGGCGCAAGACUGAUCAAGCCAUACCGCGUGCAGGACGAAGGACUUCGGGUUGUAAACUGCUUUUGUACGGAACGAAAAGGCUCUGGCUAAUACAUGGGGCUCAUGACGGUACCGUAAGAAUAAGCACCGGCUAACUACGUG